rnacentral:lncRNA from 12 species
AUGCCAGGAAUGCGGAGAUCUUCUCGUUUUAGUGAAGGGAGGUUAAGGAAGUCGGCUUCAGUCCUCUCACACGGCCCGUACCCUGUGGGGCCUGCUGCCCGGGGGGUGCAGGGGGGAGUUGGGCGUGCACACAGCCCUGAUGGAAGAGAAGCUCUGGGCUUUUGGGCUCUGUUGGUACUUCCAAGAAGAGGUGUAGGAUUUAAAGUGUUUGUGCUUAGAAGGGAACCCAAGGCAGGACCUACAGAUUUUAAAGCCAUUGGUAUAUGUUUUGUUGAAUCCGGGAGAGCUGGCGACAUUGCCCGGGGAGCUGUAGUUCUCCACCUCGGCCGCGUGGAGGAAAGCUUUGGGAAUCCUCCCUCCGGAGAUGCUGAGCGAAAAACAGGUUGCCUUGGGUCUGAAUUAUUACAGAAAAUGGCUCUCCUAAAUCAACAGGAGGCAGGUAUGAAAGUCUAGAAAAUGAUAGCAUCAAUAUUUUAACGUUUGAUGAAGAAUUUAAUAACAGAGUAACGGGUAUGCGUGGUGCCGAUGACUUUUCCAGAAUCACAAUUACAGGAAUAUCUGGGAAUACAGCAGUAUUUUUCCAGAGUAGCUUGUAAGUAAUUACAGGGCUGAAACAGUUUUUCUUUGAGGGGAGGUUUUAACUAUUUGUUUUUUUUUUUUUCCACAUGUUGUUACCACAGACAUGGUUAUGUUGGACCGUGGCCUAUGUUGGUAGAUGACAAAUUCUGACCCAAAUUCCACAUUCAUAAUGGUUGUUUUGAUCCAGAAAGAACUGUCUCAGGUAAUCUGGUGGCACGUUUCAGGGGCAAGAACAAAUGGAGUCAGUAGGUACUGUGACCCCCGAGGGUGAGGCCGGUUGUAUGUAAAUGAGUCUUGGCUUGGAUUUGCUCCUUCUCUUUAUUUUCUCUUUUAAAAAUUCUUUCUUUUCACAAGUCUGAGAGAAAGAGGAAAAAAGAGAACUAGUCGAUUCUUGCUGUACAUCUUUUUAAAAAGCCUGGGGGAGUUGUGAAAGACAUUGCAUGCUUUUCUAAGGACGUGAGUUAAUAGAAAACUUGAGAAAGUUUGGUUUUUGGAGCACUUAGUGUUUGUUUUCCGUUGAACUGAUGAGAAAGAGAGAGAAGAGUCAAAAGAACCGUGGCAAGUAUCACAUGGUCCUAUUGUCAGGGUGUUGGGGGGAAGUGGCUGUAAGGGCUGGGGGCUCAGGAGGCACAGCUCUUGAAUUAGGCAUUCGUCUCAUUUUUUCCCCCUUUUUGGUUCCUGAGUCUUAGAAAAAAUAAUGUGGGCAGGGAAGAGCCAGGCAGGAUGGAUCAUGCAAAUAAAGGAAGAUCUCAUCCUACA